AUUCAGCUGAUGAGUCCAAAAUAGGUCGAAAUGUGCGUUCUGGAU
rnacentral:hammerhead_ribozyme from 1 species